AAAAAAUAAUUAUUUUACGGAGUUUCAAAUUUUAACAAUAUUAUAUUUUUGAAAAAUAACUAUUGUUAUUGAAUUUCAUAUUAUAUAGGUGAAAUUCCAUGACCCGGGUCGGAUCAUUCCUGGACCGGAUCGUGGAUUUGAGAGAGCAAUAAAUUAGGGAUCAGAUAAUGGCAACUGCAAACAAUCAAAGUUGAGAAAGAGAGGAGUAGAAGAAAAGUGUGUUGAUCAAAGAAAGGGAAAAGUGUUUUAAGCAUGUCGUUAAUGAAGGGAGAGCCAUUGGUGAGGAAGGUUGCGCUGAUGGCUAAGUAUGCAGUGUUUCCUGGAGCUAUGGCUGCUGCCGUUAUCUAUUCUCCUCCUCCUUACGCUUCUUAUUAUAAGCCCCAAUCUUCUUCUUCAAAAUAAACUUUUUGUUUUCCUUAUGGGGUUCUUUUUGACUUACCGAAUGCUUCUGGUUGCAGUAGUUCACUGAAAUGCUGUAUUUGUAAUAGACUUGGUAUGUAAUAAUAAUCCAAUGGAAGCUUGUUUCUUUGCUCAAA